CAUGGAAUUUGGAUCCAUAUUUUAUGGGCGGAGCUAAUAAUAUAAAGAAAAUGCACCAGACCAAAAAAAGUCUUCAGAAACAAGGAAUAGCAGAGAAGCUGAAUGAAGGAAAGAAAAUCUUAGUGUACUCAAGUCCUUUUGGAAGUGACACAAUGAUUGCCCAGGUUUAUGGGAAGGAAGAUGCAAGAGGUGGGAAUUUGCAAUAAGAAUGUCCUUUUACUGAGAAAGAGCCCAGCCAUUGUUACUUGUUGCUGAGAAAAGGAUAAUGCUGCUAUCAGCUUCAUUAUCUACUUCACCUCUGGUUCAUUCACCAGCUGCAUCCUUAAGUCAAUAUUUCUCCAGCAAAUUACGUAUUUCCAGUUGUAGAAACCUUGAGGAGAUGACCUUUCAACCUGGUCUGCAGAGACCCCCCGCAGGUCUGCUGCAGACAACGUUGUAUGCUGUGUGCUCAGUCUGUUCUCCAGCCCUGAGGGAUGACAUCAAGAAACCCAGUGGUGCUAUCGAUGUGGCACUUGGUCCUAGCAGAAUUCAGAGGAAUUUCUCCUAG
rnacentral:lncRNA from 1 species